GUGAGAUUUAGUUCUGAAUCUGAGAGAGGUUUUGAUCAACAGUUGUGGUUGUUGAUUGACAGAGAAAAAAGUGCUUCGUUCUUUCCAAUUUGUUGAUCGAGAGAGAGAGAGAGGAAGAAAGGAUAGGAGCAAGGUAUUUUGCAUGUUUUCGUUCUUCUAAAGUCUGCUAAAUCCGACUCCUACGCAUCUUCCAGCUCUGGCGCCGACAAAUCUCCCGAUUCUAAGGAUCCUUGGUGUUUGAAUUUCUAUGCGUACAAGGCCACAUUCAGACAAAGCAUAUAUAGUCCUUUUGGUUUGCUGCUACUGAAUAAUCAACCAAGUUCAGAUCAGUUUUCUAGGGGAAAGCUAAUAGAUGCAUACCGAUUUUUACACAAAGAGAAGGACAUGGAGCGUGGCUUCUCCUGGUCAGGAAAUCCCAUUGGAAAGUAAGACCAUAUGAUUCAUGCACAUAGGAACUUGCGGUUGAAAAUAAAUUGGAUUACUGUUGUGUUGGUCGAGUUGAAGUGAUGUAGAAUCAUGGUGAUUCCAUCUGAAUGUGCAAUCAUUAGAUGUAUAGAGGCAAAAGGAUGAGGAUAGACUACUUCAUAGCUGCAGAGCAACUCAAAGAUAGGAUUGUUUCAUGUGAGAUGCACGGGCAAGGGAUGAAUUACAAGGUUUGCUGACUGCGGUGCAGAAGGACUACUUUAGACUUCUACAUUAUCAAGAGUUGCAUUUCGAUGAUUGUGGAGAUCGUGUUUCUCAGUUGUUACAUGUUGAAUUAGCUGCCCCAGCUUCACAGUUUCAAAACAAUGAUAUUCUAGAAGACCUCAUGAUUCAAAUUUGUGUAUAGUAAUUAGCUAAAGUACCAGAUUUUGGAUCAUGUAAAACAAUAUUUGAUGUGUAUAUACAACGCAUUUAUAGUGUACCUAAUAUUUGUAAA